GUCGAACGGGGUUAUUCUUUAUAGCUUGCUAUGAGAAUAAUUAGUGGCAGACGGGUGAGUAAUGCAUAGGAAUCUACCUAGUAGUAUAGGAUAGCCACUAGAAGUGGUGGGUAAUACUGUAUAAUCCCUGCGGGGGAAAGAUUUAUCGCUACAUGAUGAGCCUAUGUUAGAUUAGCUAGUUGGUAGGGUAAAGGCCUACCAAGGCAGUGAUCUAUAGCUGGUCUGAGAGGAUGAUCAGCCACACUGGAACUGAGACACGGUCCAGACUCCUACGGGAGGCAGCAGUGGGGAAUAUUGGACAAUGGGCGCAAGCCUGAUCCAGCUAUGCCGCGUGAGUGAGGAAGGC
rnacentral:rRNA from 1 species